GGCCUUGUAGUGUAAUGGUAACACGUCUUUCUUUCAUUCCAGUUUAAGAUAUGACAAUUUGAAAGAAGUAUCCCGUUCGAUUCGGGACCGGGCCC